GCCUACAGCCACACCACCCUGAAAGCACCCGAUUCCUCCCGAUCUCAGAAGUUAAGCAGGGUCGGGCCUGGUUAGUACUUGGAUGGGAGAUAAAAUUAAAUAAAUUCCCAUUCACUGGCC